UUAAAAAGUUAAUUGUUAAAUCAAUUUAGUUUGAGAUAAAAAAUUUAUUUAAUUUUAAAUUUAUUUUUUUUUUAAAAAAAAUAAUUUAUUUUUUAUUAUUACAAUAAGAAAAAAUUUUUUUAAUUAUAGUUUAUAGUAUUGUAAAAGAAAAUUUUUUAAUUAAUUAAAAGAAAAUUUUAUUUUUUGUACCUUGUGUAUCAGGGUUUAUUAAAAUUUAGUAAAAAUUUAUUAUUCUCGAAUUUAAAAGAGCUAAAAAAUUAUUAUUAUUAUUGUAUAAUAAUUAUAUUAAAUAAUUUUUUUGUAAUGAAAUGUUAUUCGUUUUUAAAUAUAUCUAGUUUUUUAAGAAAAAAAUUUAAUUUUGUUAUUAUUAAUAUAAUUUUUAUUAAUUAAUUUUAUAUUUAUAAUAAUUAAUAUUUUUAGGGAUUAGCUUAAAAAUAGAUUUUUAUUAAUAAAUAAAAUUUUUUAAUUUUUUAGGAUUAGAAAUUUUCAUAAUUUAAAGUAUGUUAUAAUUUAAUUUAGAUAGUUAUAAUUUUUAUUUUUUAUAAAUUUAAUAUUAAAAUAUAAAUUUUAAUUUUAUAUAUUUAGUAAUAAUGAUAAAAUUAGUAUAAUUUUUUAUAAAAAUAAAAAAUUAAAUUAAUAUUAAUUAAAGGAAUUCGGCAAAUUAAUUUUCACCUGUUUAAUAAAAACAUGUCCUUUUGGUAUUAAUUUAAGGUUUAACCUGCCCAAUGAAAAUUUAAAUGGCCGCGGUAUUUUAACUGUGCUAAGGUAGCAUAAUCAUUAGUUUUUUAAUUAAAAGCUGGAAUGAAGGGUUGGAUGAGAAAUUAACUGUCUCUAAUUAAUUUUAUUAGAAUUUUAUUUUUAAGUUAAAAAGCUUAAAUUUUUUUAAAAGACGAGAAGACCCUAUAGAGUUUUAUAUAUUUAAUUUAUAAAUAUUUAGAAUUUAUUUUUUAUAAUUAGUUUAUAUUUAAUUGGGGUGAUUAAAAAAUUUAAUAAACUUUUUUUAUAAAUUUAUAUUAAUUAAUAAAUUAAUGAUCCAGAUAUUUUGAUUAUAAGAUAAAUUACCUUAGGGAUAACAGCGUAAUUUUAUUAAAGAGUUCUAAUCGAAAAUAAAGUUUGCGACCUCGAUGUUGGAUUAAAAUUUAUAUUUGGUGUAGAAGCUAAAUAAUUUAAGUCUGUUCGACUUUUAAAAUUUUACAUGAUCUGAGUUUAAACCGGUGUAAGCCAGGUUGGUUUCUAUCUUUAAAUAUAUAAAAUAUUUUAGUACGAAAGGACCAAAUAUU
rnacentral:rRNA from 1 species